rnacentral:tRNA from 1 species
AGGGAUGUAGCGCAGCCUGGUCCAGCGCGCGUGUCUGGGAGACACGAGGUCGUGGGUUCGAAUCCCGCCAUCCCUA